UACAGAGGUCUCAAGCGUUGUUCGGAUUCAUUGGGCGUAAAGGGUGCGUAGGCGGCGCGGUAAGUCGGGUGUGAAAUCUCGGAGCUUAACUCCGAAACUGCAUUCGAUACUGCCGUGCUUGAGGCCGGGAGAGGUGAGUGGAAUUCCCAGUGUAGCGGUGAAAUGCGUAGAUAUUGGGAGGAACACCAGUGGCGAAGGCGGCUCACUGGACCGGUUCUGACGCUGAGGCGCGAAAGCUAGGGGAGCAAACAGG
rnacentral:rRNA from 1 species